rnacentral:miRNA from 1 species
UAUCAGACUUGUUGCAAGGUUGUUCCAACAAGUCCGAUACAGUCAUGAUAUAACAAUAUUGUUACAACCUUGCGUCAUCAACCUUGGAACAUUCUUGUUAUAUCAUGAAUGUAUCAGACUUGUUAGAACAACUUCGCUACAAGUCUGAUA